rnacentral:rRNA from 1 species
AAUUUUCGCAAUGGACGAAAGUCUGAUGGAGCAACGCCGCGUGAACGAUGAAGGCUUUCGGGUCGUAAAGUUCUGUUGUAAGGGAAGAACAAGUGCCGCAGGCAAUGGCGGCACCUUGACGGUACCUUGCGAGAAAGCCACGGCUAACUACGUGCCAGCAGCCGCGGUAAUACGUAGGUGGCAAGCGUUGUCCGGAAUUAUUGGGCGUAAAGCGCGCGCAGGCGGCCUCUUAAGUCUGAUGUGAAAGCCCCCCGGCUCAACCGGGGAGGGCCAUUGGAAACUGGGAGGCUUGAGUAUAGGAGAGAAGAGUGGAAUUCCACGUGUAGCGGUGAAAUGCGUAGAGAUGUGGAGGAACACCAGUGGCGAAGGCGACUCUUUGGCCUAUAACUGACGCUGAGGCGCGAAAGCGUGGGGAGCAAACAGGAUUAGAUACCCUGGUAG